UUACACACGCAAGUCGAACGGCAGGCACGGGGGCAACCCUGGUGGCGAGUGGCGAACGGGUGAGUAAUGCAUCGGAACGUGCCCAUCGAUGGGGGAUAACUGCGCGAAAGCGUUGCUAAUACCGCAUACGACCUACGGGUGAAAGCAGGGGACCGCAAGGCCUUGCGUCGAUGGAGCGGCCGAUGCCGGAUUAGCUAGUUGGUGAGGUAAAGGCUCACCAAGGCGACGAUCCCGUAGCUGGUCUGAGAGGACGACCCAGCCACACUGGGACUGAGACACGGCCCAGACUCCUACGGGAGGCAGCAGUGGGGAAUCUUGGACAAUGGGCGAAAGCCUGAUCCAGCAAUGCCGCGUGUGGGAAGAAGGCCUUCGGGUUGUAAACCACUUUUGGCGGGAAAGAAAUGGUCUGUGCUAAUACCACGGAUUGAUGACGGUACCCGCAGAAUAAGCACCGGCUAACUACGUG
rnacentral:rRNA from 1 species